rnacentral:rRNA from 1 species
GGACCCGCACAAGUAGUGGAGCAUGUGGUUUAAUUCGAAGAUACGCGCAGAACCUUACCAACACUUGACAUGUUCGUCGCGACUUUAAGAGAUUAAAGUUUUCGGUUCGGCCGGACGAAACACAGGUGCUGCAUGGCUGUCGUCAGCUCGUGUCGUGAGAUGUUGGGUUAAGUCCCGCAACGAGCGCAACCCUCACUUUUAGUUGCCAUCAUUUAGUUGGGCACUCUGAAAGAACUGCCAGUGAUAAGCUGGAGGAAGGUGGGGAUGACGUCAAGUCCUCAUGGCCCUUACGUGUUGGGCUACACACGUGCUACAAUGGUAUUUACAACAGGAAGCAAAACGGCAACGUUAAGCAAAUCCUUAAAAAAUACCUCAGUUCGGAUUGCACUCUGCAACUCGAGUGCAUG